CCUACGGGAGGCUGCAGUGGGGGAUAUUGCACAAUGGGGGAAACCCUGAUGCAGCGACGCCGCGUGGGCGAAGAAGUAUUUCGGUAUGUAAAGCCCUAUCAGCGGGGAAGAAGAAAUGACGGUACCGGAGUAAGAAGCACCGGCUAAAUACGUGCCAGCAGCCGCGGUAAUACGUAUGGUGCAAGCGUUAUCCGGAUUUACUGGGUGGAAAGGGAGCGCAGGGGGCACGGAAAGCCUGAUGUGAAAGCCCGCGGCCCAACCGCGGGACUGCAUUGGAAACUACCGGGCUGGAGUGCCGGAGAGGUAGGCGGAAUUCCUAGUGUAGCGGUGAAAUGCGUAGAUAUUAGGAGGAACACCAGUGGCGAAGGCGGCCUACUGGACGGUGACUGACGCUGAGGCUCGAAAGCGUGGGGAGCAAACAGGAUUAGAUACCCUUGUAGUC
rnacentral:rRNA from 1 species